rnacentral:lncRNA from 1 species
AUUAACCUAUUUAUUUAUUCUAGACCCAAUAUAAAAAUAAAUAGACUCAAAAAAUAAAAGUCGGGCACCAAAAUGCUCGAAAAAAUAAAAUGUACACGUCAAAAUAAUCAGCGCGAAAUAAAUAACUCGGAAAAAUACAGCGUUUGGUCGGAUUUUGAAAUAAAAAUUACGACCGUUUAAACCGCUCAGACUGAUCAACAUAUGACCAAAAAUAGUCGUAAAAAUAUUUUUAGUAUGUCAAAUUAAACCACGUGAACCGCAG